AUGAGAAAGAAAAGGUUUCCCCCACAAAGGAAGUAUAAACCUCAACCUAGGGGAGAUGGACCUUUUCAAGUGCUUUCAAGGAUUAAUGACAAUGCCUACAAAAUUAAACUUUCAGGUGAGUAUGGUGUUAGUACUACCUUCAAUGUUUCUGACUUGUCUCCUUUUGAUGUAGGUGGUGGAGAUUAUAACUCGAGGCCGAAUUCUCUUCAAGAGGGAGAGAAUGAAUAG